rnacentral:rRNA from 1 species
CCUACGGGUGGCAGCAGUGAGGAAUAUUGGUCAAUGGACGAGAGUCUGAACCAGCCAAGUAGCGUGAAGGAUGACUGCCCUAUGGGUUGUAAACUUCUUUUAUAUGGGAAUAAAAUGUUCCACGUGUGGGAUUUUGUAUGUACCAUAUGAAUAAGGAUCGGCUAACUCCGUGCCAGCAGCCGCGGUAAUACGGAGGAUCCGAGCGUUAUCCGGAUUUAUUGGGUUUAAAGGGAGCGUAGGUGGAUUGUUAAGUCAGUUGUGAAAGUUUGCGGCUCAACCGUAAAAUUGCAGUUGAUACUGGCAGUCUUGAGUACAGUAGAGGUGGGCGGAAUUCGUGGUGUAGCGGUGAAAUGCUUAGAUAUCACGAAGAACUCCGAUUGCGAAGGCAGUUCACUGGACUGCAACUGACGCUGAGGCUCGAAAGUGUGGGUAUCAAACAGGAUUAGAUACCCUUGUAGUC